rnacentral:rRNA from 1 species
UACGGAGGGGGCUAGCGUUGUUCGGAAUUACUGGGCGUAAAGCGCGCGUAGGCGGCUUUGUAAGUUAGAGGUGAAAGCCCGGAGCUCAACUCCGGAACUGCCUUUAAGACUGCAUCGCUUGAAUCCAGGAGAGGUGAGUGGAAUUCCGAGUGUAGAGGUGAAAUUCGUAGAUAUUCGGAAGAACACCAGUGGCGAAGGCGGCUCACUGGACUGGUAUUGACGCUGAGGUGCGAAAGCGUGGGGAGCAAACAGGG